UAAGCUAGCAACAUCUCUCUUACCUCGUGGGCUGUCAAGCAAGCAAGACCUGUACAGCAGUAAUCGCAGGAAAACGUCUGUAAAAACUUAUGGACAUGCUGAGUCCUCCAGAUGAAAGAAUGCUCUUUGCAACCACCUUCCAAAUUGGAUAAUAGAAGGGGGUCCUGAAUGUCAUGUGAAGAGCUCUGAACCCGAACACUUAAGCAGCUCUACCUGUCACAGCAGGAAAUCCCAGCACCAUGAGAAGCACAGAUCAGGAGUUGGGGUGUAGGCUGGUCACUGGUCUUCUUGUCACACACAGAGCAUGACAAUGGGCCUGAUUUACUAAGUGUUGUUUUCUUUGUAGGUUUUUUCCUGACAGGUAUUUUUUCAUGUUAUUUACUAAUGUGAUGAUUUUUCCCUACAUUUUUCUUUUUUUCACAACUGCUCUGAGCUGUCGGGUUUUACAGAGCUCAAAUCCACCACAUUUUAUGUGGGAACUUAAGUAAAUAUGUUGGGAUUUUUCAAAACUGCCGGGAAAACAACUUUUUUUCAGGGCCAUGCUCUUUUCCCUGGCGAUCAUGCCCUUUCCUUUUCUGAGUAAGGCCAUGUUCACACAGAGUAAAAUGUACAGAAUAUGCGCUUGGAAAAAAAGGCGACCAUUCCGCAAAUUUGCACUAACUAGCAGGUACUAGGAAAUGUGCUGUCUCAUAGACAGGAAUGCAUU